rnacentral:rRNA from 1 species
UACGGGGGGGGCAAGCGUUGUUCGGAAUUACUGGGCGUAAAGGGCGCGUAGGCGGCCUGCUAAGUCGGACGUGAAGUCCCCCGGCUCAACCGGGGAACUGCACAGGAAACUAGCGGGCUUGAGUUCGGGAGAGGGAAGCGGAAUUCCGGGUGGUAGCGGUGAAAGUGCGUAGAUAUCUGGAGGAACACCGGUGGCGAAGGCGGCAUCCUGGACCAAUUCUGACGCUGAGGAGCGAAAGCCAGGGGAGCAAAGCGGG